CCGCCGCUGUAGAAAUCGUCUUCAGCGGAGUCGUUCGCGUCGUGCAUGUCGUCCUCGGAUUCCAUUACUACGCCGCCCCCGCCGCGCGCCGGAACUCCAGGAGCAGGCGCCCACCACGAGGAGGUAGCAAUCGGGUAGGGUGGCGAGGCGCCGGCGCGGAUCGGGCGGAUCGGAGCGGCGCCCACCACGAGGAGGUAGCAAUCGGGUAGGGUGGCGACGCGCCGGCGCGGAUUGGAGGGUGGCGCAGGCGGAGGCGGAGACGGAGGGAGGGUGGGGAUGUGGAGAAAUGGACGGGUUGGGUUGGAUUCGCUAGCUUGGUUGCUAGGAACGAGAGCU
rnacentral:lncRNA from 1 species